CAGACAAGACACCAAGACAGGAGGCACAAAGACAAGAAAAGCCCUGCAGAUUAGAUGGUGAGGCAGAAAUCUUGCUUUUCCUCAAGUCAGGGCCACUGAUCACUUUGCAGCACACUCCAAAGAGCUGUGACCUCUUUAGGACAUAAAUCUCAGGAGUCACAUGCUCUGCCUUAGAGCUGUGCUGACACUUCUCUGAGUACUAAGAAGCAGCAAGGGCAUUUGCUGUAGCACAGAAACAGAACAAGCUUUGAUGAUUUUGGAUAAGAAUUCCCUGUUCCAGUUUGUGAUGUGGCUCCAAAGUCUGUCAGCAGAGGAAAGGCAAUGAGAGGUGGGAAUGUUCAGAGUCAGAAGCUGCCAUCUUCAGUGACCUCAUCAUUAGCAGGAUGAGAAUGAUAUGGGACAAGUUUCUCACCCUGUUUCUGCUGUGGUAAAGCUGAAGUAGUUCUGACUGUUUGGAUGUUUUGCCAUGGCAAAUUAGGUUCCUUCAAAAAUCUCCUCAAGGGAGUGUGGCAUCAUGAAGCCUUUCAUCAGGGGCCCCAGACUGGGCUCUGCUUCCAACUUCUUCAGAAGAACAGAACAAACAUCCUCCUUCCACUGAGCCGGAUGUUUUCCGAAGGUAGAACAAGGUAUCCUCUGUACCUCAAAGGGAGGAAGGAUCACAUAACACCAGGCAUAAAUGUGAAGUUACCAGUUUUCACAGGCUUUUUUAUUAUUAUUACUUUUUUAAACCAGGAAGCUUUCCCACAUCCCAGUUAGAGCUAUGAAGUUCUAUGGGUUUCCUCUGCUUUGGAUGUACUGACAUUCAAAUCCCAGACUCUCAAACACAGUCAUUACGUGCUGGGCACCUUAGCAGAGAGAGAGGGGCUGGUAGAUCAUUUCACUCUCAUAACAGCCCUAUAACAAGUACAGAAAUUGUGUGUAUGUGGAAAAUUAUUUAUCAGGAGGCAUUUGAUGUAUUUUUAGU